AUUACAUAAAGAGUCGAACCUGCCCAAUGAUAUUUUUAAAUGGCCGCGGUACUCUGACCGUGCAAAGGUAGCAUAAUCAUUUGCCUUAUAAUUGAAGGCUAGUAUGAACGGUUUGACAAGAGUAGCACUGUCUCUACUAAAUUUUAUAGAAUUUGGUUUUUAGGUGAAGAAACCUAAAUAAAAUUGAAAGACAAGAAGACCCUAUCGAGCUUUAAAAAAUUUUUCUUAAAGAUUUUAGUUGGGGCGACUAAGGAACAACAAAAGCUUCUUUUUUAUAUAUAAACUUAUAUGUUUUGAUCCAAAAAAAUGAUUAAUAGAAUUAGUUACCGUAGGGAUAACAGCAUAAUCUUUUUUGAGAGUUCUUAUCGAAAAAAAGGUUUGUGACCUCGAUGUUGGACUAGGAUAUCCUAAAGGUGUAGAAGCCUUUAAAGGUUGGUCUGUUCGACCAUUAACA
rnacentral:rRNA from 1 species